rnacentral:rRNA from 1 species
UACGGAGGGUGCAAGCGUUGUCCGGAAUCACUGGGCGUAAAGGGCGCGUAGGCGGCUCAUGAAGGCUGUGGUGAAAGUCCGGGGCUCAACCUCGGAUCGGCCGUGGCGACUCGUGGGCUGGAGCACUGUAGAGGCAGAUGGAAUUCCGGGUGUAGCGGUGGAAUGCGUAGAGAUCCGGAAGAACACCGGUGGCGAAGGCGGUCUGCUGGGCCAAGACUGACGCUGAGGCGCGACAGCGUGGGGAGCAAACAGG